rnacentral:rRNA from 1 species
GAACGGCAGCACGGGAGCAAUCCUGGUGGCGAGUGGCGAACGGGUGAGUAAUACAUCGGAACGUGUCCUGUAGUGGGGGAUGGCCCGGCGAAAGCCGGAUUAAUACCGCAUACGAUCUACGGAUGAAAGCGGGGGACCUUCGGGCCUCGCGCUAUAGGGGCGGCCGAUGGCGGAUUAGCUAGUUGGUGGGGUAAAGGCCUACCAAGGCGACGAUCCGUAGCUGGUCUGAGAGGACGAUCAGCCACACUGGGGCUGAGACACGGCCCAGACUCCUACGGGAGGCAGCAGUGGGGAAUUUUGGACAAUGGGCGAAAGCCUGAUCCAGCAAUGCCGCGUGUGUGAAGAAGGCCUUCGGGUUGUAAAGCACUUUUGUCCGGAAAGAAAACGUUCUAGCUAAUAUCUGGAGCGGAUGACGGUACCGGAAGAAUAAGCACCGGCUAACUACGUG